GGUUGAAUAUUUUAAGGUUUUAACUUUUUUUGCCAUCUAAAAAUUCAUGUUGUGGAUAUUCAUUUUGCACUUAGCCCUCUAAAAUUGAUUUUACAGCAACUGGUGGUGAUUUUCUCGCGUUAUUUUUUUUUGUUCAGAUGUCUAAAAGUGUGAAGAUAUCACAACACUAAUAAUUGAUCCCAACUGACAUUGAAAAAACGUUCAAAAUAGUAGGUACAAGAGGGGAAAACACGGGUUAAAACAAUCUAACUAAAAUUCAAAUUAGUCACGACUCACCCGCUCAUAUAUUG
rnacentral:lncRNA from 1 species